GACGAACCGUGCGAACGUUAUUCGGAAUCACUGGGCUUAAAGGGCGCGUAGGCGGGCGGCCAAGUCAGAGGUGAAAGCCCCCAGCUCAACUGGGGAAGUGCCUUUGAUACUGAGAAGCUUGAGUCCGGGAGAGGUGAGUGGAACUGCGAGUGUAGAGGUGAAAUUCGUAGAUAUUCGCAAGAACACCAGUGGCGAAGGCGGCUCACUGGCCCGGUACUGACGCUGAGGUGCGAAAGCGUGGGGAGCAAACAGG
rnacentral:rRNA from 1 species